rnacentral:rRNA from 1 species
UACGUAGGUGGCAAGCGUGGUCCGGAAUUAUUGGGCGUAAAGCGCGCGCAGGCGGUCCUUUAAGGCUGAGGGGAAAGCCCACGGCUCAACCGUGGAGGGUCAUUGGAAACUGGGGGACUUGAGUGCAGGAGAGAAGAGUGGAAUUCCACGUGUAGCGGUGAAAUGCGUAGAGAUGUGGAGGAACACCAGUGGCGAAGGCGACUCUCUGGUCUGUAACUGACGCUGAGGAGCGAAAGCGUGGGGAGCGAACAGG